rnacentral:rRNA from 1 species
GAUGAACGCUGGCGGCGUGCUUAACACAUGCAAGUCGAACGGGAAACAUUUUAUUGAAGCUUCGGCAGAUUUAGCUUGUUUCUAGUGGCGGACGGGUGAGUAACGCGUGGGUAACCUGCCUUAUACUGGGGGAUAACAGCCAGAAAUGACUGCUAAUACCGCAUAAGCGCACAGAACCGCAUGGUUCGGUGUGAAAAACUUAGGUGGUAUAAGAUGGACCCGCGUUGGAUUAGCUAGUUGGCAGGGCAGCGGCCUACCAAGGCGACGAUCCAUAGCCGGCCUGAGAGGGUGAACGGCCACAUUGGGACUGAGACACGGCCCAGACUCCUACGGGAGGCAGCAGUGGGGAAUAUUGCACAAUGGGGGAAACCCUGAUGCAGCGACGCCGCGUGAAGGAAGAAGUAUCUCGGUAUGUAAACUUCUAUCAGCAGGGAAGAUAAUGACGG